UGCAGAGAGAGAAUUGUUGAGGAGUGAGAAGCAAACGCACAGAGCUAAAAGAAGAAGAAGCAGAAGAGAAGGGUGUGCAGAUUGAUUGAAUGGCGAGCAGGUAUUGGGUGGUGUCUCUGCCGGCUCAAAACUCGGCGUCGUCUCUAUGGAACCGUCUGCAGGAACAAAUCUCCAAGCACUCCUUCGACACUCCCCUCUACAGAUUCAAUAUUCCCAAUCUCCGUGUUGGAACCCUGGAUUCUCUUCUCUCCCUCAGCGACGAUCUCUUAAAGUCCAACAACUUUGUAGAGGGUGUUUCUCAUAAGAUCAGGCGCCAGAUCGAGGAGCUCGAGAGGGUUUCAGGGGUGGAGAGUAGCGCUCUGACUGUCGAUGGAGUGCCUGUCGAUUCAUACCUCACCAGGUUCGUUUGGGAUGAAGCCAAGUACCCUACAAUGUCGCCUUUGAAGGAGAUUGUAGACAGCAUUCAUGGUCAAGUUGCAAAGAUUGAGGAUGAUCUCAAGGUUCGAGUAGCCGAGUAUAAUAAUGUCCGCAGUCAAUUGAACACUAUCAAUCGAAAGCAGAGUGGAAGUUUAGCAGUCCGUGAUCUUUCUGGUUUAGUGAAACCAGAGGACAUCAUUAUUUCAGAACAUCUAGUGACUCUCCUUGCAAUUGUUCCCAAGUACUCUCAGAAGGACUGGCUAUCAAGCUAUGAGACCCUGACUAACUAUGUGGUUCCAAGGUCCUCCAAGAAGUUAUUUGAAGAUAAUGAAUAUGCUCUUUACACUGUAACACUAUUUAAUCGGGUCGCAGAUAACUUUAGAACAAGUGCUCGUGAAAAGGGGUUCCAGAUUCGUGAUUUUGAAUACAGUUCUGAAGCACAAGAAAGUCGAAAGCAGGAGUUAGAAAAAUUGGUGCAAGACCAAGAAAAUUUAAGAGGCUCCCUUUUGCAGUGGUGCUAUACCAGUUAUGGGGAGGUUUUCAGCUCCUGGAUGCAUUUUUGUGCCGUACGUGUCUUUACAGAGAGCAUUUUGAGAUAUGGUUUACCACCAAAUUUCUUGGCAUGUGUAUUAGCCCCUCCUACAAAAGCUGAGAAGAAAGUGCGUUCAAUCCUUGAAGGGUUGUGUGACAGUGGCAACAGGCAAGUCCAUUAGCUUUCUUUAUGUUAGUUGCACACGAAGGGAGAACCUCACCUCUUCCAUAAAACAUAACUGACCAAUUGUGAGCACCUUCUGGAAAACCGAUGAUGAAGUCGGCGGAGGGGUGCCUGGUCUAGCAGGUGAUGUGGAUGCACAUCCAUAUGUUUCGUUCACGAUCAAUCUUGUUUGAAUGGGCGCUUGAAUAUCCCGUCAGAAUCUGAGGAUCUUUUUGGACGACAAUAACAGUGGACGGGGUACUUGUAUAUUAGCAUUUACAGUUGUAUACUUUGUUUAUUUAUUUAUAAUUGCUGCUUUGGGAUUCCUCGUGAGGGUUCAUUGGGAUAUUAGAGGUGAAAUUUAUGGGGGAUUUUCAUCGCUAAACUUGUAGCCUUUUUGUUUUGGUGCUUAGAACUAGGGUAGUUUUUGUGGCUUUGCGUGCUAAUAUCUGUAGAGCAUGCAAUCAAUAAUCGUUUGAAGGAUACGAUGUGAAUAAUAUCUUUGGGUUUUCUUCCCUUUGACGAGGAAGGUAAGAACUACUUUUUUUAC